rnacentral:rRNA from 1 species
ACGUGGCGGCGUGGAUUAGGCAUGCAAGUCGAGCGAGAAGGUUCCUUCGGGAACUGGACAGCGGCGAAAGGGAGAGUAACGCGUAGAUAUCUGCCUCGAGGCCCGGGAUAGCGGCGGGAAACUGCCGGUAAUACCGGAUAACAUCUCCGGAUCAAAGGUGUGAUUCCGCCUCGAGAUGAGUCUGCGUCCUAUUAAUGCUUGUUGGUGUGGUAACGGCGCACCAAGGCGAAGAUGGGUACCGGGUGUGAGAGCAUGGCCCGGCUCACUGGGACUGAGACACUGCCCAGACACCUACGGGUGGCUGCAGUCGAGAAUCUUCGGCAAUGGGCGAAAGCCUGACCGAGCGACGCCGCGUGCGGGAUGAAGGCCCUCGGGUUGUAAACCGCUGUCAGUAGGGAGCAAAUCUCUUGGGGUUAUCCCCUUGAGUUGAGCGAUCUUCAGAGGAAGUACGGGCUAAGUUCGUGCCAGCAGCCGCGGUAAGACGAACCGUACGAACGUUAUUCGGAAUCACUGGGCUUAAAGAGUCCGUAGGCGGCCGUGUAGGUGGGAUGUGAAAGCCCUCGUCUCAACCGAGGAAUUGCGUUCCAAACCACAUGGCUUGAGGAGGAUAGAGGUGAGCGGAACUGAUGGUGGAGCGGUGAAAUGCGUUGAUAUCAUCAGGAACACCAGAGGCGAAGGCGGCUCACUGGGUCCUUUCUGACGCUGAGGGACGAAAGCUAGGGGAGCAAACGGGAUUAGAUACCCCGGUAGUCCUAGCUGUAAACGAUGAGCACUAGAUCGAGGGGACUUCCACAUCUUCUCGGUCGUAGCGAAAGUGUUAAGUGCUCCGCCUGGGGAGUAUGUCGCAAGCAAGGCC